rnacentral:rRNA from 1 species
AGCAGCCGCGGUAAUUCCAGCUCCAAUAGCGUAUAUUAAAGUUGUUGCAGUUAAAAAGCUCGUAGUUGAAUUUCGGGAUUGACGUGAUGGUCAUGCCUUAAGGGGUAUGAACUGUUACAGUUGAUUUCUCACCUUCUGGAGAAACUUGAUGUCCUUUAUUGGGUGUCUUGCGGAUCCAGGACCUUUACCUUGAAAAAUUAGAGUGUUUAAAGCAGGCAUUUUUGCUCGAAUACAUUAGCAUGGAAUAAUAGAAUAGGACGGCAUGGUUCUAUUUUGUUGGUUUCUAGGAUCACCGUAAUGAUUAAUAGGGAUAGUUGGGGGCAUUAGUAUUCAAUUGUCAGAGGUGAAAUUCUUGGAUUUAUUGAAGACUAACUACUGCGAAAGCAUUUGCCAAGGAUGUUUUCAUUAAUCAAGAACGAAAGUUAGGGGAUCGAAGACGAUCAGAUACCGUCGUAGUCUUAACCAUAAACUAUGCCGACUAGGAAUCAGACGAUGUUAAUUUUUAAUGACUCGUUUGGCU